rnacentral:rRNA from 1 species
GAUGAAGGUCUUAGGAUUGUAAAAUACUUUCACCGGUGAAGAUAAUGACUGUAGCCGGAGAAGAAGCCCCGGCUAACUUCGUGCCAGCAGCCGCGGUAAUACGAAGGGGGCUAGCGUUGCUCGGAAUUACUGGGCGUAAAGGGAGCGUAGGCGGACAUUUAAGUCAGAGGUGAAAUCCCGGAGCUUAACUUCGGAACUGCCUUUGAUACUGGGUGUCUUGAGUGUGAGAGAGGUAUGUGGAACUCCGAGUGUAGAGGUGAAAUUCGUAGAUAUUCGGAAGAACACCAGUGGCGAAGGCGACAUACUGGCUCAUUACUGACGCUGAGGCUCGAAAGCGUGGGGAGCAAACAGGAUUAGAUACCCUGGUAGUCC